UUCUCAACAAUUGUAGUUGAAGUGACUCCUUUUUCAGACAUGAUUGAAGAGUAAGAGUGAAAUUAGAACCUUUUUUUAACUGAAGUGUGGUGAGGUAUUUUUCGGGGAGGAGAAACAAAAGGGAGAGGAGAAGAAAGAAAAUAAUUAUAUUAUUUAGAAGUUUGUUUUUUCCUUUAUAAUAAUUACGAUUUAGGGUUAUUGGUCAUUUAUGUUCAUUUAUCUAAGGAUGUAGGUUAGAGUUAUAAGUGUUAUUAAUCUAUGUUAAGAUGUAACCUCUAUUAGCAUUCAAGCAUGAGAUAGAUAGGUGGAGAGACAGGCAGAGAAAUAGAUGAGAGAGAGAGAAGGGGGAAGAAAGUUUUAGAAAAAAAGGAACUGUGAUGUGCAUUUCGCAUUAGCAUUUAAAAAUAAUUUAUCUCACAGAGAGCAUUUUCAUCAACAUAGUUCAAUAAUACUUGUGAAUAAUGAGGAAUUUAUUGAGGAAACGUUUUAAACUUAAUUGAGUAAUUGAUAUAAACAGAAAGACUUCUAAUGCAAUUAUGCAGAAGGUUGAAAACUGACACAGGUAUAAACUUCGAGGCUAUAAGUACUAGUGACUUUAAAGUGGUUUCUAGAAUACAACUAAUGGCAACAAAUCAUACACGUCUCAAUUUGACAUGCCAAUAGCUAAAAAGGAAAAUGACUAUAAUCUAGAACAAUGAAAUAGCAAAAAUAAUUUACAUUAGAACACAAAAAGAAACUUGGAGUAGAUAACUAAGGUUCAGAACAUAGAAAUAAUAACAUAAAUAAAUAAAUGACAAGCCAAACAUAAGAAAGGUCUAACCUGAGCUUCAGCACGAAGAUCAGUAUAUGGGACAACACCAGUAAGAAGCUCAUUGAUUGAUAUCCCAAAACUGUAGACAUCUGAUUUUUCAGUAUGCACCUCCUUUCUCAAUAUUUCAGGUGCCAUAUAAAUGAGUGUACCAACCAUGUUCUUUUUGUGGAAACCACCAGUUGGCUUUCCUGAUGAUCUCCAACUCUCAACAGAAACUCUUGUAAGAUUCCUCCUGUAUUCUGCCAAACCAAAGUCUGCUAGGUGUGGACAAAGGUUUCUGUUGAGCUGCAUUGCGUGCAAUAUUUCAGUUAUAUUAUUUGACAUUUUUCUUAAAACAAUUUAUUCAAAAUUUCUGAUCCCAAAGGAAAACUAUAGACCGACAAACAGAUUAUGGAAGAACAUUACAAGAACAUUUGCUGGUUUCACAUCCCUAUGUAAAAUCCCAUGGUCAUGCAGAUACUGCAAAGCCUUUGCUGGAAGAAGAAAACAGUUGAAAGAGGGGAAAGUGUUAUAUUGCUCAACAGAAAAAGUUGUAAUUGAAAAGGAAAAAAACAGGGAUAACAAGAACAUUUCAGCAAUAUGCUCGUAGAAGUUCCCCAUGCAGAACCAAACUAAAAAGAACUCCAUAGAAUAGUAAAAGAGCCUUGUGAUGUCAACAUAUUACUGAACAAUAAAUGGAAACUAAGUUUUAUCUUACAAUAAUCAAGAUAUCAUCAAUUCCAUUUAACUUUCACUCAGAUCAUACAAUUCCUAAAACCUUGCUUGUCCUCUAAGUUUCUUCUUCAAAAAAGUCUUCACCCCAGCUGAACAGUGAUCAUGAGCACCUGAUCAAUACUCGGACUCCAUUCUUCCGCAUGUAAUUUCCCCACAAGAUUGCCAGAUUCAUAGAAUUUGAAAAAGAAUAGGUAAUUGGGAGCCUUUGCAUGAGCUGCAACCAGCUUGGCUAUUCCCAGAUGAUCCAGCGUGCAUAUGAGUUGCAGCUUCUUAUGGAACUUAUCAAUGUCCUCAGAAGUAGACAAGAAGAGUUUCUUCACAGAAACUUUCCUUCCAUCCAAAAUUCCUUCAUAUACUACACUCUCCGCCCCUCUGGCAAUUGGAGAGAGGAGAGCGUAAGAAGACGGAGGAAGGUGAAGAGGAAUGGAAUUGCUGCUGCAGCAACCUCUUAUGCAUGUGUUUGGCUCCACAAUCUCCAGCCCCAUCGUGCAAUCUCUCGUUCUCGCUUUCUACACGCUGUUUCGAAGAGUGGAAGUAGUUGGCAUCGCUAGUCGACGCAAUGCUAGAAAGUGUUCGUAGAGAAGUGAACGAAGAACGGAUGCGAAUUUAUUUUAUUCCAGUUUUUUGGAUGCGAGUUUCAUUUUUCGGUUUUCAUCUCCAGGAAGCUUCUUUUCUUGGCUUUUCCUGUUCAGUCGAGGCCUUCAGAUCUGGUGUCCUGUCAGCGAACUGGCGAAGGGAGAGAGCGGAG
rnacentral:misc_RNA from 1 species